UGACAUAUGUCAUAUUGACCGGAUACGCGUCAGAGCAGUCAAACUUGGCCAUUUUCUUUUCUUAUUUUCUUUGAAUUUCGUCUUUGUUUAGAGCGUUUGGUCUCCGGUGCGGUGUCAUUUAAAAUCCAUUAUUGUGUUGAAAUUACCUUAAAAAGCCAAAUCAAAAUGCAGCGUGGCCGCUCUGACACGACCACCAAAGUGUUUGUUGGUAGCCUCCCGGCGGCAGCCACAACCGAUGAUCUUCGGAAGCUUUUCGAGCCCUACGGUAAUAUCGCCGAGUGCGAUAUUUCCAAUAAAUGCGGUUUCUUGCAUUUGGACGAUGCCGACCUGGCCAUGAAGGCGAUUAAUGAUCUGAAUGGUACAGAUUUUAUGGGGUCUCGCAUUUCCGUUGAAAAAGGACGCGUUAAAAUGAGACGUGGUGGAGGUGGCGGCGGCCCUAUGCGUCCGGGCGGCGGUAGAGACAGGGGAGGUGGCCCAUAUUCUAGAGGUGGUGGCAGAGACUUUGGUGGUGGACGAGGAGGCAGAGGUGGUUUCGGUGGCCGAGGAGGUGGUAGAGGUGGUUUUGGAGGCAGAGGUCGAGGAGGUGGUGGCUAUGAUGACAGAAGAGGAGGUGGUGGUGGUGGUGGUGGAUAUGGGCAAGACAGAGGAGGUUAUGACUCAUAUGGAGGUGGUGCCAGAGGAGGCUAUGAUGACAGAGGGGCAUAUGGAGAUGGACCCAGAGGUGGUGGUGGAGGUUAUGAAGAUAGAAGGGUAGCACCGCAUGUUAGGGUUCCAGAAGGAGGGGACCUUUACAGCAGACGUGACAUGGGGAAACCAAUGGGUGGCGGUGGAGGCGGAGGCUACGACAGAUACGGAGCUGCCGGCGGUGGCGGCUCUAACGGUUACGGCAGCGCUGCCGCCGGCGGUUACGGAGGUGCUGCCUCCGGUGGUUACGGAGGUGCCGCGUCUGGUGGUUACGGCGGUGCCGCCUCCGGUGGCUACGGAGGAGGUGCCGGUGGCGGAUAUGCGGCCCAAAGUGCCGGCGGCGGUUACGGAGGUGCCGCCAGCGGUGGCUACGGUGCAGGUUCAGCAGCCGGCGGUUACGCGGCUAACACCGGCGCGGGCGGAUAUGGCGGCAACGACGGAUAUGCUUCCGGUGGUGGAGCGGCUGGUGGAUAUGGAGACAGUAGUGGAUAUGGUAGCGCGGCUGGCGGAUACGGCGGAGGCGGUUACGACGACGGUUACGGCGGUGGCGGCGGCGCUGCCGCAGGCGGCUACGACUCUGCCUAUCCUCCAUUACCAGCACAAAGAGGGUUUCCUACUUGAGGCUUUGAAUAUGUGGGGGUGAGACAAAGAAAAUGUAUCGCUUAGGGAAUGGUUUGGUUUGCCGCUAGUGAAAAGCUUUUUUCAGAAACCAUGUUUACCAAUCAUCAGGGAACAAGCAAUCGGAUAAAUUACAGAUAAUUUUUAAAUUGAAAUUAUUGAUAUUAACCAGGUUACUAAAUAAAUGAAUUUUAACUUA
rnacentral:misc_RNA from 1 species